AGUGAACGCUGGCGGUAGGCCUAACACAUGCCAGUCGAACGGCAACACAGUAAGAGCUUGCUCUUACGGGUGGCGAGUGGCGGACGGGUGAGGAAUACAUCGGAAUCUACUUUUUCGUGGGGGAUAACGUAGGGAAACUUACGCCAAUACCGCAUACGACCUACGGGUGAAAGCAGGGGAUCUUCGGACCUUGCGCGAUUGAAUGAGCCGAUGUCGGAUUAGCUAGUUGGCGGGGUAAAGGCCCACCAAGGCGACGAUCCGUAGCUGGUCUGAGAGGAUGAUCAGCCACACUGGAACUGAGACACGGUCCAGACUCCUACGGAAGGCAGCAGUGGGGAAUAUUGGACAAUGGGCGCAAGCCUGAUCCAGCCAUACCGCGUGGGUGAAGAAGGCCUUCGGGUUGUAAAGCCCUUUUGUUGGGAAAGAAAAGCAGCAGGUUAAUACCCCGCUGUUCUGACGGUACCCAAAGAAUAAGCACCGGCUAACUUCGUG
rnacentral:rRNA from 1 species